UCCGGCCGCCAUGGCGGCCGCGGGAAUUCGAUUCCUACGGGAGGCAGCAGUAGGGAAUCUUCCGCAAUGGACGAAAGUCUGACGGAGCAACGCCGCGUGAGUGAUGAAGGCUUUCGGGUCGUAAAACUCUGUUGUUAGGGAAGAACAAGUGCUAGUUGAAUAAGCUGGCACCUUGACGGUACCUAACCAGAAAGCCACGGCUAACUAC
rnacentral:rRNA from 1 species